rnacentral:rRNA from 1 species
UGCCAGCAGCCGCGGUAAGACGUAGGGGGCGAGCGUUGUCCGGAAUUAUUGGGCGUAAAGGGCUCCUAGGUUGUUCAGUAAGUCGACUGUGAAAAUCCAAGGCUCAACCUUGGGACGCCAGUCGAUACUGCUGUGACUCGAGUUCGGUAGAGGAGUGUGGAAUUCCUGGUGUAGCGGUGAAAUGCGCAGAUAUCAGGAGGAACACCAACGGCGAAGGCAGCACUCUGGGCCGAUACUGACACUGAAGAGCGAAAGCAUGGGGAGCAAACAGGAUUAGAUA